rnacentral:rRNA from 1 species
GACGAACGCUGGCGGCGUGCUUAACACAUGCAAGUCGAACGGAAAGGCCCUGCUUGCAGGGUACUCGAGUGGCGAACGGGUGAGUAACACGUGGGUGAUCUGCCCUGCACUUCGGGAUAAGCCUGGGAAACUGGGUCUAAUACCGGAUAGGAGCCAUUUUGAGUGUGAUGGUUGGAAAGUUUUUUCGGUGUAGGAUGAGCUCGCGGCCUAUCAGCUUGUUGGUGGGGUAAUGGCCUACCAAGGCGGCGACGGGUAGCCGGCCUGAGAGGGUGGACGGCCACAUUGGGAUUGAGAUACGACCCAGCCCCCUACGGGAGGCAGCAGUGCGGAAUAUUGCACAAUGGGCGGAAGCCUGAUGCAGCGACGCCGCGUGGGGGAUGACGGCCUUCGGUUUGUAAACUCCCUUCGCUAGGGCCGAAGCUUUUUUUGACGGUACCUAGAUAAGAAGCACCGGCAAACUACGU